GGGAAUCUCACACUGCAAAUUCAGCUCCUGUUCCGGAGUUUGAAAUGUAGGGAUCCAGGGUUUUGGGCCAGCCCAUUAGAAAGUCAGGGCUGUCUGCCACAUUCAGAUGAGAUCAGUGUUUGGCUUCCGAACAGCCCCAGAGUUCUGCAGGCCUUCAGCUCCAGAGUUCUGGACGUAGAAGAGGGACGGAGGGCACAGGGGACAGAAAACGGGAAAAGAAGAAGGAAAAGUCACUGUCUGGUGCAUUGACAAGACGUGGAGAAAAGUGUGGAGAAGAAGAAAAUGCUGAGAGAGGAAUUUUGAUCCAAAGGACAAAGGGUGAAAGGAAGGAAAGGAGAAUUUGGUUGGAAAACACAAAGGAUCGACGGGAGCAGGAAAACUGUAUCAGCAACUCAAAAGAGCAAACAACUGUCAGUAUUAUGGUGAACUGUAUUCUGAAUGGCCAUCUGCCCUCUGGCAGAGCUGCAAGUGUGAUGAACAUAUUGAAGGCAACACAGUCAAUGGACCCAGAAGGACGCAGGAUUCAGAGAUUCACAAAUUCACAGAUUCCCAGGCCAGAAGGUACCAACAGACUGACCCUAAACACACAGGCCAUAGAAUUUCUUCCAGAAGCUGGAUGUGAGCAUAUGCUUUAGAAAGAUAGCUAAGCUCCCCUUAAAGACCCCAAGCAAUUGUGAGUCCUCCAUCUCUCCGAUAAACUGCUCUAAUGUUUAUUUACCCUCA